UACAGAGGUCCCGAGCGUUGUUCGGAUUCAUUGGGCGUAAAGGGUGCGUAGGCGGCGGGGCCAGUCUGAUGUGAAAUCCCGGGGCUCAACCCCGGAACUGCAUUGGAUACUGCCUUGCUUGAGUACUGGAGAGGGAACUGGAAUUUACGGUGUAGCAGUGAAAUGCGUAGAGAUCGUAAGGAAGGCCAGUGGCGAAGGCGAGUUCCUGGACAGUUACUGACGCUGAGGCACGAAGGCCAGGGGAGCAAACGGG
rnacentral:rRNA from 1 species